rnacentral:snoRNA from 1 species
UUCACAGUCCCAGCUCCGCAUAGCAAUGCUCGAUGUGCUCUUGCGGCGUUUGUGACUGUGAGAUGAAAAACCAGCCAGUAUUAUAUUGCUGUUGUUGGUGCUCUUGUGCACCAAUGAUGAAAAAGUAUAUGGCACAUU